AUUGACCAGUAAAGACGUAUAAUUUGACGAUAAUGGAAUGGUAACCUCGCCUGCGCUAUUGGUAUACGCUGGCGGAGCACUGUGAACGAAAGCAUGAGAGAGUGAAGGCGGAUCAGUCGACUCAUCGUGAAGAAUUCAACAAGAAUUAAGCACGAUGAUUUCUAGAGGGGUCAAACGAGCAUGCGACUCACCUGAUGGUAAGUG
rnacentral:lncRNA from 1 species